CACAGAGGUUGCAGGGUAUACCCGUCCUGCGGUGCGGCGAUGCCUACCCGCCCUCGGGCCGGCGCGGCGGCGGCCGAGGCGGCAGCGGCAGCGACAACAGCUGUGGGGCCCGCCAGGCCGCGCUGUGGAGUCGGCUGAGGGCGCUGCAGGACCGGCAGGUGGAGUGGCACGUCCGGUAGCAGCGGCGGCGGCGGCGGAUCCGGCGUAGAGAGCGGGGCGGGCGGAGGAGGGGAGCUGCCCCACAAUGUCAUCAUGCAGAAUGCCAGUGGGUGAUGGAUAGAGUAGCCAUAAUUUGCUGCUGGACAUGGUUGCAGACUCAAAUCUCUGUUUUGGAAUAUCAAAUAAGACACCAGAUGGAUAUCUACAAGAAACAUUGUGCUGCCAAGUUUGCAUGCUGGCUUCUUCAGCAGAAGUUCUCUGAUCCAUGUGAAUGUUGAAAAGGGAUUUGGCAAACAAAACCCACUGGGCAACCAUGUUGCUGUGUUGGACAGAACCUGCAUUGCUGCAAGAAUCCACCCAGCUUGCAGGCGCAAGAAGCGCAAGCGUGUCCGAGCUACCUCUGUCUCACAUCAGCAGGAAGAUGGUCUUACGAAACCUUACAAGCACAGUUCUACUCUUCAAACCAGAUCUGUCCUUGAUUUGGGCUCAAGUGCACAGUGUUUGCUUUGGGAACCUUUUCAGAUAAUAAGACUAUGAAGAACAGAGUAUGCCAGUGGCGAUGGCAAGACAGUAGUCUUUUGAUACCAAUGGAAGGCUGAGCUGGUGAUUCUGGAGGUGUUGUGAAGAGCGAACAGUGUUCAUCGCUCUGAAAAUCUGGUUUUGCUUUGGCAUCCUGACACAUCAAAUCUGCUGGUCUUUCGGCAGAUUGGAGUGGACCAGGAGGAGAUAGGUAUUGAGGAGUUCUUUGAGUACUCGAUUGCAAGCUUUUAAUUUCAGCAGCUUCUUCCUUCCCUCCCUUUUGCUCCGUAGAACAUACGGCCUUGGGAGCCUCACAUGUUUCCGCUCUCCGAUGCUGCACACCAAGCUCUUCUCCAGCAACUGAACAAAGAUGGCUGUGGCCAGGCCGAUGGCCAGCCCCAGCUCUCUAGCAGUCAGUAGAGGAUCAGGCCUGCUGCUUCUGAGGACACCAUCAAAUCCAGCUUCAUGGGAUGAUACAGAUACAGAUCUGCAAACAGAUGCCAAUAAAAGCAUAGCAGAGUUUGUGGUCUGGCACUGCAACCCAGGACAACUUGUCAGCUGUGAUAAACCUGAGCUGUGGGGUGUAUGAAGAGUUAGCAAUGCGUGCUGCCACAGUAGAAGGCUGCCUGCUGGACUGGUGCAGUGAAGCACUGGUGGUAUGUGGCACUGCUUCAGCUUGGUUUGAAAAAUAUGAAAAUUGAAAAAGCCUCCAACUCCAUCAUUAUAAUUUUUGUGGAGUUGAAUAUAGGAGUGAAUCAUGAAAAUGUACUCAGUUUUCUUUACUAAAAUUCAUUGUAUUUUGUAAUUAUAUACAGAUUUUUUUUUUUUUGCCUGUUUUUUUGGGGUUUUUUUUUUUUUUUUUGUAUUUUGAAUGGUUGGAUUUGCAAAUAAAGAAUUAGCAG